rnacentral:ncRNA from 1 species
CGGAAUGGGUACAAUUUAAACCUGUUAACGAGGACCUAUGAGAGGGCAAGCCUGGUGCCAGCGCCGCGGUAACUCCAGCUCUCAAAGUGUAUGUCGUUAUUGCUGCGGUUAAAAAGUUCGUAGUUGGAAUCCAGCUUGACGACAUGGUCCAUUUAUUGGAUGUGAACUAUGAUCGUAGGAAAAAGUUUAAAAUAAAAUUGUAAUUCAAUUCUAUUGGGUUGCAACAAUAUGCUUAUAAAGUUCCAGUGAAUUAACAUUAAUAUAACAUUGGAAAAAAGUUUGGAAUAAAAUUAUAUAAUAUUUAUAUUAUAAAAAAUGUUGGCAAUUUGCUGCGUAUAUUCCU